rnacentral:rRNA from 1 species
GAUGAACGCUGGCGGCGUGCUUAACACAUGCAAGUCGAACGGCGAACCCGUAGCUUGCUCUGUUUGAUCAGUGGCGAACGGGUGAGUAACACGUGAGCAACCUGCCCCUGACUCUGGGAUAAGCGCUGGAAACGGCGCCUAAUACUGGAUAUGUGACGUGAUCGCAUGGUCUGCGUCUGGAAAGAAUUUCGGUUGGGGAUGGGCUCGCGGCCUAUCAGCUUGUUGGUGAGGUAAUGGCUCACCAAGGCGUCGACGGGUAGCCGGCCUGAGAGGGUGACCGGCGACACUGGGACUGAGAGACGGAGCAGACUCCUACGGGAGGCAGCAGUGGGGAAUAUUGCACAAUGGGAGCAAGCCUGAUGCAGAAGCGCCGCGUGAGGGAUGCCGGCCUUCGGGUUGUGAACCGCUUUUGGCAGAGAAGAAGCGAUAGUGACGGUACCUGAAGAAAAAGCGCCGGCUAACUACGUG